UUACCGACGGCCUCAGAUUCGCUUGGUGCAGAUCGGGAAUUGAUUGUCUGACACCUCCACGUGUUUUAUCAUGUUUGGCUUGUGAGAAGUGAUCUGUUCCCGCCUUGCACCAACUGAAUCGGAGUCCAAGGUGAAA
rfam:Arabis alpina cultivar Pajares chromosome 6, whole genome shotgun sequence.